rnacentral:rRNA from 1 species
UACGUAGGGACCAAGCGUUGUUCGGAUUUACUGGGCGUAAAGGGCGCGUAGGCGGCAAUUCAAGUCAUCUGUGAAAUCUCCGGGCUUAACUCGGAACGGUCAGAUGAUACUGCUUUGCUAGAGUGCGGAAGGGCAGUCGGAAUUCUCGGUGUAGCGGUGAAAUGCGUAGAUAUCGAGAGGAACACUGAGUGAAGACGGGUUGCUGGCCGACACGUGACGCUGAGCG